GAUGAACGCUGGCGGCGUGCCUAAUACAUGCAAGUCGAGCGAACAGACGAGGAGCUUGCUCCUCUGACGUUAGCGCGGACGGGUGAGUAACACGUGGAUAACCUACCUAUAAGACUGGGAUAACUUCGGGAAACCGGAGCUAAUACCGGAUAAUAUAUUGAACCGCAUGGUUCAAUAGUGAAAGACGGUUUUGCUGUCACUUAUAGAUGGAUCCGCGCCGCAUUAGCUAGUUGGUAAGGUAACGGCUUACCAAGGCGACGAUGCGUAGCCGACCUGAGAGGGUGAUCGGCCACACUGGAACUGAGACACGGUCCAGACUCCUACGGGAGGCAGCAGUAGGGAAUCUUCCGCAAUGGGCGAAAGCCUGACGGAGCAACGCCGCGUGAGUGAUGAAGGUCUUCGGAUCGUAAAACUCUGUUAUUAGGGAAGAACAAAUGUGUAAGUAACUAUGCACGUCUUGACGGUACCUAAUCAGAAAGCCACGGCUAACUACGUG
rnacentral:rRNA from 1 species